AUCGGUCUGCAGAGGUCAAAAUAAAAUUAUGAAAAACAGAAGGACUUGCCUAGAUUUACAAGUAUAAGUUCAGAAAUGUUUGAAUGAUAUAAAGGGAACAGUAACAAUGUUUAUCAGCAUCAAGCAAACUAUGCAGGUCUUGCUGUCUAGGUCGUCAAACUGGUUGUGCAUUGACAACUCAAACCCUCACAUGCGAGUACCAGUUUUGGGG